GCAGAUGAUGAGAGUUACCCCCUCUGAUUGAUGAUGAUUGCAGGGUUCUGAUGC
rnacentral:snoRNA from 1 species